rnacentral:hammerhead_ribozyme from 1 species
AUCCAGCUGAUGAGUCCCAAAUAGGACGAAAUCUGCGUCGUGAAU